UACAGAGGGUGCAAGCGUUGUUCGGAAUUAUUGGGCGUAAAGGGCGCGUAGGCGGUGCGGUAAGUCCGCAGUGAAAUCUCUGGGCUCAACUCAGAGUCUGCUGUGGAAACUGCCGUGCUCGAGUGUGGGAGAGGUGAGUGGAAUUCCUGGUGUAGCGGUGAAAUGCGCAGAUAUCAGGAGGAACACCAGUGGCGAAGGCGGUGAUCUGGGCCGAUACUGACGCUGUAGAGCGAAAGCGUGGGGAGCGAACAGG
rnacentral:rRNA from 1 species